rnacentral:piRNA from 1 species
UAAACGGUUUUUUUAUGUACU